AAGUGAAAAGUCUCUUGCGUGCU
rnacentral:siRNA from 1 species